AGUGAACGCUGGCGGUAGGCCUAACACAUGCCAGUCGAACGGCAGCACAGUAAGAGCUUGCUCUUACGGGUGGCGAGUGGCGGACGGGUGAGGAAUACAUCGGAAUCUACUUUUUCGUGGGGGAUAACGUAGGGAAACUUACGCUAAUACCGCAUACGACCUACGGGUGAAAGCAGGGGAUCUUCGGACCUUGCGCGAUUGAAUGAGCCGAUGUCGGAUUAGCUAGUUGGCGGGGUAAAGGCCCACCAAGGCGACGAUACGUAGCUGGUCUGAGAGGAUGAUCAGCCACACUGGAACUGAGACACGGUCCAGACUCCUACGGGAGGCAGCAGUGGGGAAUAUUGGACAAUGGGCGCAAGCCUGAUCCAGCCAUGCCGCGUGAGUGAAGAAGGCCUUCGGGUUGUAAAGCCCUUUUGUUGGGAAAGAAAAGCAGCAGGAUAAUACCCCGCUGUUCUGACGGUACCCAAAGAGUAAGCACCGGCUAACUUCGUG
rnacentral:rRNA from 1 species